rnacentral:rRNA from 1 species
UGGGGAAUAUUGGACAAUGGGCGAAAGCCUGAUCCAGCCAUGCCGCGUGUGUGAAGAAGGUCUUCGGAUUGUAAAGCACUUUAAGUUGGGAGGAAGGGUUGUAGAUUAAUACUCUGCAAUUUUGACGUUACCGACAGAAUAAGCACCGGCUAACUCUGUGCCAGCAGCCGCGGUAAUACAGAGGGUGCAAGCGUUAAUCGGAAUUACUGGGCGUAAAGCGCGCGUAGGUGGUUUGUUAAGUUGGAUGUGAAAGCCCUGGGCUCAACCUGGGAACUGCAUCCAAAACUGGCAAGCUAGAGUACGGUAGAGGGUGGUGGAAUUUCCUGUGUAGCGGUGAAAUGCGUAGAUAUAGGAAGGAACACCAGUGGCGAAGGCGACCACCUGGACUGAUACUGACACUGAGGUGCGAAAGCGUGGGGAGCAAACA